AUGUUAGUGUUUAUGGCAUCUGUCACCCCAUUGAUUGCCAGGACUGAUUUGGCUGAUCUGCCUGUCUAGGCAGGUGUCCCCUUCCCCUGCAUCGCUGCAUGUAUGUUCUUCCAGAAGUGGUGUGAUUUGCCAAAGAGGAGAGAGUGUCCCCUUAGUGCUGAAGAAACCAUCUUGGGUCAAAAGUAAACUAACUGCUAGCUGUGUUCCCCUGAUAGAACCUCCAGAUAAGCUCCCCAAAAUAUAUAAUGUUACAGUUGCUCUAGAUAUGAAGCUUGACUGGUUUUUAAUGAAUUUAAAAUAAUUUUUCUUU
ensembl:misc_RNA Gm22895 predicted gene, 22895